rnacentral:rRNA from 1 species
UGAGGAAUAUUGGUCAAUGGGGGCAACCCUGAACCAGCCAAGUCGCGUGAAGGAUGAAGGUCUUAUGGAUUGUAAACUUCUUUUACACGGGAAUAAAGCGGGGGACGUGUCCCUCUUUGCAUGUACCGUGUGAAUAAGGAUCGGCUAACUCCGUGCCAGCAGCCGCGGUAAUACGGAGGAUCCGAGCGUUAUCCGGAUUUAUUGGGUUUAAAGGGUCCGUAGGCGGACUUAUAAGUCAGUGGUGAAAGCCUGUCGCUUAACGAUAGAACUGCCAUUGAUACUGUAAGUCUUGAGUAUAUUUGAGGUAGCUGGAAUAAGUAGUGUAGCGGUGAAAUGCAUAGAUAUUACUUAGAACACCAAUUGCGAAGGCAGGUUACCAAGAUAUAACUGACGCUGAGGGACGAAAGCGUGGGGAGCGAACA